rnacentral:lncRNA from 1 species
UCAUCUCCAGGCUAGGGAGGAAGGCGGGAUAAAAUCUCUCUCAAUAUGUCAGAUUGCUGGGUCUGCUCCACCUGCAUGGCUUGAACCCUGGUCUCCAAGCUCCCUAAAUGGUCCCAUGUCGCAUUUACUCACCACUGUAUACCAUCCAUCCUGCCAACGUACAUUCUCAAUCGCCCAUCAAAGGUACUCAUCUCUCUUCUCGCUGUAAGGAACUCACUGCUGACAUUGGAUGCGAAGUUUCUUGUGAUUGCCAUAUCAUUCUGCACCUGUUGAAUGGUGGUACUCAUUGCUCCAAAUGAUUGCUGGAGACUCUGCAUGUCUCGGCUGUAUCCUGUCAUAGUGGCAAACAUCUACCUCAAUAACUGGGUAUCAAUGUCAACCAGUGGUGGAGGAACUUAUGGCAUCUCGAAGUUCUCAGCUGCUUGUCCUUCCUUAGCCUGCUGCUGUCGGCGUCGCUCGUUUUCUAACUUUUGUUGAUGUUUAACUCUGGCUCAAUCCUGGGCCUCUAGUGCGAGGCACUUGAUAUAGGGACUUGUUUUUCUAGUGCUUCCCCAUGCUGGACUUGUAUGCCUGCAGCUCUACAUAUCCCACUUAUUAAACUUAGGAAAAUCAGCGAAGUGUGCCUGUCUCCCCAUGUGCCUAUAAUCUAUAUCUGGUUGUAGAUGUAUGUGGCUAAGUCAAUCUUAUUUCCCCGAACCAAAUGAUAGAUAAAUGCCACCUUUUGAUUUGUGAAUGUCGUCCUAUGGGAUAUGGGCUCGAUAGUCCGGGCUGUGCCAGAUGUGAAAGCAGCCUUCUCUUUUCCUUUUGAUGUUCUUUUUGGAGGCAUCCUACAAAGGUGCAAAAAUAACAUUCAUUAAAAUUCUUGUUGAAAAACGAGAGAUGGAAUGAGAUUAGCAAGGCAUAUAUUUCACAAAUCCCCCAAACUUACUUCAACAUGCAUAAAUGACUCAUUGGUGUGCAAUCUUCAAAACAUGAUAUUCAAGAUAGUGUAAAUAGUGUGACAAUAUGAAAAACUAAGAAAACUAGGUCUAAACAUGCACAUUUGAAAAAUUGGACCCACGACCAAGUGCGCAUGUUCGGCCCCGGAUAUCAUCGAAAAAUAUCGAAAUUUUUCCGGGCAAUCUCCGGGCAUAUGAAAGUAUUCAAUGAGGUCUACCAUAUACUCAAAUUUUAAAUCAAUUGGAUUUCGUUUGGUAUGUCAAAUUAUGGUGUAAAGUAGGGGACGGAGGGUGCCGUGACUUGGCU